CCCUUGGCUUCACAGCCUGCAUCCUCACUCGGUCCACUCUCCCGCUGUGGCCGGGGUCACUCCGCGCGGGCAUUGUGGCUUUUGUCUGCAUCUGGACAACCAGACC
rfam:Felis catus isolate Cinnamon breed Abyssinian chromosome A3, whole genome shotgun sequence.